rnacentral:rRNA from 1 species
AUACGGAGGGUGCGAGCGUUGUUCGGAAUUAUUGGGCGUAAAGCGCGUGUAGGCGGUUUGUUAAGUCUGAUGUGAAAGCCCCGGGCUCAACCUGGGAAGUGCAUUGGAUACUGGCAGACUUGAAUACGGGAGAGGGCAGUGGAAUUCCUGGUGUAGGAGUGAAAUCCGUAGAUAUCAGGAGGAACACCGGUGGCGAAGGCGGCUGCCUGGACCGAUAUUGACGCUCAAGUGCGAAAGCUGGGGGAGC